CAACACACACGGCGCGGGGAAGACGUGCGUGUACGAGCCGGACGGGCCCCUGCUGGCCGGAUACCACGAGCGAUACUUCUCCGGGUCCAGCGUCCAGAAGCACAUCGAUGAAGACCUGCUGCCGUUCCAGUGGUGUUGUACCGAGUCUCCUCUGUGCCAGCUUUACCUCAACAAGAGGCCGGCGGACGACUGCAGGGGUCCCAGCUGGACCGGCCCCGGCUCCUCCCCGUCCAGGGCCACACCCGGCACCGCGCUGGUGUACGGCAGCCUCCACUUCAUCACCUUCGACGGGGCGGAGUUUUCCUUCAGGGCCCUGGGGGAGUUUGUGAUCCUGCGUCUUUCUUCCGCCACCGGCUCCAACAUCUUCACCCUGCAAGGGCAGAGCGACCGGCUGCUCAGCGACGCCGGGGCGGCCCUGGAAGUCCCGGCGCUGGUGCGCUUGGCGGCGUACCACCAGGGCAUCGGCAAGAUUGAAUGGAGGUGUUCGGAGACGCACGGCGGGCUGCAGGUUCUGGUGGAUGAUGUCGACGUCCCAGUCAGAGAUG